rnacentral:rRNA from 1 species
CACGUAGGGGGCAAGCGUUGUUCGGAAUUAUUGGGCGUAAAGGGCAUGUAGGCGGUUACGCAAGCCCGGCGUGAAAUUCUGCAGCUUAACUGUAGGACUGCGUCGGGAACUGCGUGACUUGAAUCGUGGGGGGGGAGCUGGAAUUCCAGGUGUAGGGGUGAAAUCUGUAGAUAUCUGGAAGAACACCGGUGGCGAAGGCGAGCUCCUGGCCAAUGAUUGGCGCUGAGGUGCGAAAGCGUGGGGAUCAAACAGG